AGUUCGGAUUGAAGGCUGAAAUUCGCCUUCAUGAAGCCGGAAUUGCUAGUAAUGGCAGGUCAGCAUACUGCCGUGAAUACGUUCCCGGGCCUUGUACACACCGCCCGUCACACCAUGAGAGUUGGGAAUACCCGAAGCCUGUGAGCUAACUUUUAGAGGCAGCAGUCGAAGGUAGAAUCAGUGAUUGGGGUGAAGUCGUAACAAGGUACC
rnacentral:rRNA from 1 species